rnacentral:rRNA from 1 species
AAUCAACGCUGGCGGCGUGCCUCAGACAUGCAAGUCGAACGCGAAAGUUUCCUUCGGGGAGCGAGUAGAGUGGCGCACGGGUGAGUAACACGUAGGUAAUCUACCUUCGGAUGGGGAAUAACAAUCGGAAACGGUUGCUAAUACCGCAUAAUGCAGCGGCACCUAAUGGUGACAGUUGUUAAAGCGGGGGAUCGUAAGACCUCGCGUCUGAAGAGGAGCCUGCGGCGGAUUAGCUUGUUGGUAAGGUAAUGGCUUACCAAGGCGACGAUCCGUAACCGGCCUGAGAGGGCGGUCGGUCACACUGACACUGACAUACGGGUCAGACUCCUACGGGAGGCAGCAGUCGGGAAUUUUGGGCAAUGGGCGAAAGCCUGACCCAGCAACGCCGCGUGAAGGAUGAAAUCCCUCGGGAUGUAAACUUCGCAAGAACGGGAAGAAUAAGCGAGAGUUAAUAUCUUUCGUGAUGACGGUACCGUUUGUAAGCUCCGGCUAACUCCGUGCCAGCA